rnacentral:rRNA from 1 species
GACGAAGGGGGCUAGCGUUGCUCGGAAUCACUGGGCGUAAAGCGCACGUAGGCGGCUUCCUAAGUCAGGGGUGAAAUCCUGGAGCUCAACUCCAGAACUGCCUUUGAUACUGAGGAGCUCGAGUCCGGGAGAGGUGAGUGGAACUCCGAGUGUAGAGGUGAAAUUCGUAGAUAUUCGGAAGAACACCAGUGGCGAAGGCGGCUCACUGGCCCGGUACUGACGCUGAGGUGCGAAAGCGUGGGGAGCAAACAGG